CCUACGGGGGGCAGCAGUAGGGAAUAUUGCUCAAUGGGGGAAACCCUGAAGCAGCAACGCCGCGUGGAGGAUGAAGGUUUUCGGAUUGUAAACUCCUUUUGUUAGAGAAGAUAAUGACGGUAUCUAACGAAUAAGCACCGGCUAACGCCGUGCCAGCAGCCGCGGUAAUACGGAGGGUGCAAGCGUUACUCGGAAUCACUGGGCGUAAAGGGCGCGUAGGCGGGAUAGCAAGUCAGAUGUGAAAUUCUAUGGCUUAACCCUAGAACUGCAUUUGAAACUGUUAUUCUAGGGUAUUGGCGAGGUUAGUGGAAAUCUUGGGGGAGGGGGUAAAUUCG
rnacentral:rRNA from 1 species